CAAGAUAUUAACUUACAUCCUCUGAAUGCAACUCAGACUCUUUUAAUUAAGAUAAAGCUCUCUAGAAUGA
rnacentral:tRNA from 1 species